UACGUAGGGGGCAAGCGUUAUCCGGAUUUACUGGGUGUAAAGGGAGCGUAGACGGUAUGGUAAGUCAGAUGUGAAAGCCCGGGGCUCAACCCCGGGACUGCAUUUGAAACUAUCAAACUGGAGUGCAGGAGAGGUAAGUGGAAUUCCUAGUGUAGCGGUGAAAUGCGUAGAUAUUAGGAGGAACACCAGUGGCGAAGGCGACUUACUGGACUGUAACUGACGUUGAGGCUCGAAAGCGUGGGGAGCAAACAGGAUUAGAUACCCCCGUAGUCCCUGAGCGGG
rnacentral:rRNA from 1 species